rnacentral:lncRNA from 1 species
UUUUUUAUUUUUUUAGGCCGCACCUGCAGCAUAUGGAAAUUCCCAGGCUACGGGUCAAAUUGGAGCUGUAGCUGCCGGCCCACACCACAGCCACAGCAAUGCAGGAUCUGAGCUGCAUCUGCAAGCUACACCUCAGCCCACAGCAACGCCCGAUCCUUAACCCAUUGGGCAGGGCCAGUAGCUGAACCUGCAACCUCAUGGAUGCUAGUCGGGUUCAUUACACUGAGCCACAACAGGAACUCCUUCUGCCAUAACUUUGAUGAGGUUCGAAACCCUUCAUAAUCUCAUUUCUUAUGUUGGUUACACAGUUAGCUCUAUGGAGAGUCCAUCUCUUUCAUUUGUGUGGACUUCCCUGACAUUGUACCAGGAUUCUAGAAGUUAAGACAGUUCAGGGCCUAUGACACCUGGGGAUAGAAAUCUUACUUGCCUGUACGUAUUGCCCCCAGGCAAAUAUCUUAAUAAGGUUUGUGAAUGCAGUAUCUCAAACGUCCCAUUACAGAUGAUUCUAUGUCUCAUUAUUUGUGAUUUCAGGGGAAGCAGAAAAUGCAAAACAUUCUAAAACUGUUCCUAAUUCUCUCUCUUCCUUCCGAGAUUUUCAAAUAGGUGAAGUUGGAAUCUGAGUACACUACCCUUUGAUGGGGAGAACGCCCUCAUUUCAUCUCUACAUAAAGGAAAUCAGCUUUACAAAGUGAGACCUUGUUGCCACUCAGAGCAUGGCAUUGAAUUACUGUCUCUGCUGGACUUCAGCUGCGGGGGCUAAUUAUUUUUUCCAAAACCUCAUUAUCUUGCCACAUUGCAAAGUAUCUUGCUUCAGCAAUUAGAUAUUUUGAAUUGUGGGAGUAAAAACUCCACUCUCUAUAAGAAGCUUCUGUUUCCUGUAGAUAAAAUCAGGGAAAAGAGGAUGAUCUAGAGACAGAACAGAAUAUGCUGCUGUGUGUAUACCAUGGACAAUAAUAAAAUGUAGUGAAAAGGAAAACCCGUCAAAUUUCAAAACAACGACAUGGCUCUCUACUUCAUUCAAUUAGGAGCCGGAAGGGAGAAAAAAAUUCUGUCACUCUCAAGAUGAAAUCCUGCAUAUAAUUGAUAUACAAUCAAAAUUUGUUAAAUUGAAAUGUCGAGUUGACUCACAGUUUAAUUAUCUGAUGAGACCCUUGAGGAUUGAUACUCUGUUUAAAAGAAAUAGAUGUACUUUAGACACGGGAGGAGUGGAAGACCAAGCUUAUGGUUUAUUCAUUUUUAGUGCUAACUUUCAAAAUACUUUUUUAUUAAAGUUAUUCAAACAUACAUAAACGUGGAAUAGUAUAAUGAGCUCCUACUAUGAGUCAGCUAGUUCCCCCAGUUGUAAGUACAUUGUUAGUCUUGUUUCAUCUCUGCUCCCCCGACAAUACUCCUUGCUGAUUAUGAUUUUUCACCGCUUUAUUGUGGUGUCAUUUACAUGGCAUAAAAUUCAGCCAUCAGACUGCACACGAUUUUUAGUAAAUCUAUAAAGUCGUGCACCAUCACACAGAUCUAGUUUGAGCAUUUCUGUUGCCUCCCUGAAGUUUCCUUGUGUUCUUUUGGCGCUAAUCUCCCUUCCAGGCCUAGACCUAGGCAACCCCUGAUGCACUUUCUGUCUCUAGGAUUUGCCUUUUCUGGUCAUUUUAUAUAAAAGGAAUUACAUAACAGGGAGUAUUUUGCAUCUGGCUUUUCUCACGUAGCGUAAUGUUUUUGAGGUUCAUCUAUUUUACAGCAUGUAUCAGUAGUUCAUUCUUUUCAUUGCCAAGUAGUCUUUAUUGCAGGAGUCUGCUACUACAAUUUGUUCACCCAUUCACACAUUAGUGUACAUUUGCUUUGUUUCCUCUUUGGGGCUGUUUUGAACAACGGCUGCUAUAAAAUUCAUGUUAUCAGUCUUUUUGCUUUUAUUUCUCUUCUAAACACUUAGAAGUUAAUUACUCAGUCAUAUCAUAAGAUUACUAUUUAUUUAUGAAAUGACCCAACUGAUUUCCAAAACAUUUGUACCAUAUUAUGGCCAUUCAUAAGAUUUCAUAUGUAGUAUUUUUGUGCACAUUAAGUUUAAAUAAUUCAUGUUACCUUUGUGAGUUUUUCUUUGACUAAUAGCUUAUUUAAUUCUUUUUUUUAAUAUCCAAAUAUUUGACAAUUUCCCAAAUUUUACUCAGUUGUUCAUUUUAAUUUACAUACUUUGUAUGAUUCUAAUCCUUUGAAAUCUAUUGAUAUUUGUUUUAUGACCUGGCGUAUAAUCUAACCUGAAUAAUGUUCCAUGUACUUCUAAAAAUAUUGUGUGUUCAACUGUCAUUGGGUAACACAUUCCAUUAGUACAGGCAUUUGAUAACUUUGUUCAAGUCAUGAAUUCUUGCUGUUUUUCUGUACUCUAUCAAUUAUUGAGAAAGGAUUAUUCAAGUGUCCAACUAUUAUUCAAGUCAACCAACCAGUUGGAAGGGGAAAAAAGAGGCUGGAAUAGGUGAGGUCAUCAGGUGGAAAGCAGAAAAUCUCUGUUAAGUGCAUGCAGUGUAGACCUUUGUAGUGGAGACUUUGAAAGUGAAAACACAGACGACCAUUCAGCGGCUAGCCCAGCGAGACACAAGGUUUUACGUCCUUAUUGCCCCAUUACUGAAAUUGUAUUCAUGAAGAAGGAAUGUGGUGAGAAUCUUUUGAGUCUUCCUCUAAUAACAUGAGCUUGGCACUAUUCCUAUUGCCCUUGGGAAUCAUAAGUGGGCCCUGUAACAUUUAUAACAGAGUUCAAAUCCCUGGGGCUAAACACCCAUCACAGUCCUCAAGCUACUGAGGAAACACAGUCCAUUUCAUACAAAAUUCUUGGGAACUUAGAGCUUACUGGUGGAUGUCUCCCUGGGAAGCAGUGCUUGUUUAACCCACUUCCCCUGAUUGCAUAAAAAUAUCACUAACUCCUGCUGGCUAGGGUGUCCUCCAAACUCAGCUGCAUCUGUGGAAAUAGCUAUCUAUAUGCAUUACAAUUAAUUUACUUCUUAGGACGGUAAAAAUUGUCGCACCACAAUCCUUGGGACCCACCACCAGGCGAUUCUUCAGGAGAAGCAUCACUUUUGGGCACGUACACAGGACAAGAAUAUUCUCUUAGGAGGCAUCAGAUGUUUAAGGUGAAAAUCAUGACUUUGACAAUAGACAGCUUUCACCAGUGAUCUUUUCUGACACUUUCCUCUUCCUAGAACUAGGAAGAGGGAGAUGGCAUUUGAAAGCCAGGUGUACCAGAGUCCCUAAGACAAAGGUAAAGUUGAGGUCCUAGAACCAUCUAGAAAAUGGGAGGUGUUCUAGAACCAACCCGUCUCAGCGCCAACAAACUGGACAGGGGUGGUCCCAUCUAUGGCUGUACUGUGCUUGUCACUACAUUUCUUGUGUUCUUGUUCUUGGUGGUGCAAAAUUGUGAAUAAGAAAUCUCUGUAUUCUCCCAAACGUAUGGGAGUGUGGCUUGUGCUCACGUCGGUGGAAAUGGAAGAAAGGGCGGGCGGGAAGGAAAAAAACCUCUAAUAGAAAGUCUGACUAGAGUCCAUGGUUCUCCUGUGAUGCCCAACAAAUAUUUCCUAGAAUUUUGCCAACCUGUCACAGGGUUGGUUCCUUACUAAGAAGUCCAUGUAUCCUGAUGCCUUAGGUUCUCCCCUAUAUUUUGACUGUGAUUAAUGUAGGGAAAGAAGAGGAUGAGAAGUUACAUUUUAUUCCUACAAAUAUACAUUAAAUGGCCCUGUGUGCUGGAUGCUGUACUCAAUCACAAGAAAUUCCCGCAAGUAUUUGCUGUGCACUUAGAUGUGUUGGGGAGGCUUCCAGUGCAGGGAACAGCCAUUAACAAAACAUGGCUGGGCCAUGCGACUAGUUCAAGCAUGUGGAUCCAUGCAGUAGUUUAAAAAGUGAAGUACAAGGGAGUGGGUAAGGUACAGAUGUGCCUUCUACACUCUGUCUCUUCUCCCUCUGGAUGUGGACGAGACACCAGAGGUUGGUGUUGAAGAUGUCGGAGCCUCUGUCAACCUUGAUCUCUUUAGGGACUGAGCCCCAUCUGCCACCCCCAGCCCCCGCCCCACACCCACACUGGACUGAAACAUGAGAAAGAAAUAAACCUUGAUUAUAUUAGGCCACUGAAAUCUAGGGGUUCCGUUCAUUACAGAAGUUACUAUCCUUUUAACGAACAAUGUACCUCCUCAGACAGGUGGACUUCUCUGAGACUUAGGUAUCAUUUCCUUCAAGAAAUUACCCCCUGACUACACCAGCUCUCCAGCUGGCAGACUCGUUAAGUGCUUCGUUUUGGCACUCCCAUGUUUUAUUGACUAGAUGGUUUUGUAAUUAUGUGUGUAUUUUUGCUCUCAAUAAAAUGUGAGCUGCUGCUUCUUUCUGAAGAGAAUUUUUCCUAUUCUUUUCUUUUCUUUUCUUUUUUCCAGCUGCCUCAUGGCAUAUGGAGCUCCCAGGCCAGGGAUCAGAUCCAAGCUGCAGUUGUGACCUAGGCCACAGCUGCAGCAAAGCUGAAUCUUUACCCCACUGUGCCAGACUGGAGACUGAACCUGCAGAGACAAAGCACUGCAUUCUAGUGUCUAGAGACACCACUGCUUCCAUUGUGCCACAGCGGGAGCUCCAAAAUUUGAACUUCUUGACAGAAUGGAUUACUGUUUUACUGUUUCUUGCCUCUCCAGAGCCUAGGGCAAAGACUGGUGUGUGAUAAACAUUUAUAUUGAAUAUAAAAUGUAUGUGAUGCCUGGGGAGAUAUUUUAAAUGACAGAUAACCAGAAGGUUUAUUUGAAAGUUUAGAGGAAUAUUCUCUACUCUGAAAAUUUGCAAAUUCUGUUCUCAACUAAAUAAUUGCUUGAAAAUUUCUUGCAACUCUAAAGCUUUCUGUAGGUCAUGGAGGCCAAUAUUGAAAGGGUGGAAAAUAGGGUCCACAGAUUCAUGCAAUUAUGCUGUCAUGAAAGAUACGUACUCCAGGAGCUCCUGUCGUGGCUCAGCAGUUAACAAAUCCGACUAGGAACCAUGACAUUGCGGGUUCGAUCCCUAUCCUUGCUCAGUGAGUUACAGAUCAGGCGUUGCCCUGAGCUGUGGUGUAGAUCAAAGACACGGCUCAGAUUCCGAGUUGCUGUGGCUCUGGUGUAGGCCAGCGGCUACAGCUCCAACUCAACCCCUAGCCUGGGAACUUCCAUAUGCUGUGGAAGCGGCCCUAGAAAAGGCAAAAAAAAAAAAAAAAA